CCCGCAAAAGUUACAACAACAACAAUGAAAAGUCUCGUCUGCGGGGAGAAACGAAAAUAACAACAAAUGCAGACAACAAAAGCCACAAUGAACAGAAAAUGCUUAAUAAAAGGGAAUAGAGAAAAUCAAUAUAUUUCGGCAGAUACACACACACACACAGACAGGCACACAGAGUGUUCCUGUUAGGAGUUGCCGGCAAAACUUUCGUAUACGUAUACGCCAUGUGGUACAGUCCAAGAGCAGCAAAGGAGCGAAAGAGAAGCGUUACUGAUGCAAUUAAAAGGCCAAAAGGCUGUGGAGGAAAUGUACAGAAGGGAUAUGCCCCAAAGGCCAAACAGGACAACACGAGGAGUGAAAGUGGAAAGCAAAGGGAACAGAAAAACGUUGUCGAGAGUCCACAGCAGUCCUUCACAGCAAACUGCAUGUAAUUGCAUGGAAAAUUAGCUGUGACACCGGGUGAAAGGAGGAAAAUGGGGUAUUGACAGGAACCAAAGAGGUGAUUUCCACCAGUUAAUGAAGUCCAACAGGGAGUCGAAGUCAGACAGACUAUCAAUCAAUGCGUAUCACAUGGGGGAAUGCAAUGAUAACAACACGCAACAACAGCGACAACGCAAUUCAACAACAAUACCCGAGAACAACACCAAUGGCAUUCAACAAUGACGAUGUGACAGCUGUCAAAGCAGACGAUAAAAUCAACGGUAACAGCAGCUGACUUAAAAAGGGGGUAGACAGAAAGUGGAAAUGGAGCAGACAGGCGAAAUAGGGAAAAGGUGGCUAUCCCAAGGACUUUCUUUAUUGCCACUUCAGUAAUCUUGAAUCCGA